CGAGGGCGGGGAUGGGGCGGGGCGGGACUAGUGCGGAGUAAACCAACCGCGGAGCGGGGCUGGGGGCGGCAGCACGCUGAGCCGAAGAAUCAAAGCAAAGGAGAAAACAACAGCAAAACUCUAUUACAUAAGCCUCAAGAUUACAGACCCUACAGGAGAACACUGUGACCAAGAUGACGCUGUGCAGUCCUGACAUCACUUGGCCUCCAGCCUGGUUCAAUUUGCCUAGAGAGAUGUCCAAUACCCACAUACACCACCAGAGGGAGCCAAAUCCUACAAACUUGACUCAGCCUCCAGAGACCUUAAGUGUCUUAUUUGGAUCCGGACUCUCUUCAAAAAGAUUGCCUUGCAUAAACAUUUUGCCAUGAUAGCUCUUUCUAGGAAAUAGAUCUGACCUCCCACUUCUCUGUCUCACACCUUCAAAGGGUACGGAGCAUGACACACCUCCUUCCACAGGCACCUCGACUUUCCUAGUCUCCCAGCAUCCCCUUUUCCCCAUGCUUCCAUUUCUCUAACAUGCUGUCUCUUCUGUCCCUGUUACCCAUCAUCCUUCCCCAGUCCACUCUGUUCAACCACAAGCCAUACUUCUUAAACCACAUCUCAGCUAACUCCUAACCUUCUUGUUCCUCUACCAACCAUGACAAAAACUGUAUCUUGUGUUUCAAGUGAACAUCUCCAGCUCUCGGAGGCACUGAAAGGUCCCAGGGGACAAACCCUGCUGUAUAGGUGUGUACAUGCCCAGCCCUGCCAGGGAAUAAACUCUUGUGUGCUAACCUCAGGGCUCCUAAUUAAAGCCAUCCACCUGCGGCUCAUUUUGAGUGGCACCUUCAGAGGAUUGGAAGCAGAGUUCAUACAGAUACUUUAAAUUCUUCACUCCAAGCUCAGAUUCAACUUAAAACAUGUUGCAAAUCAAGCCAAGAUGGUGGCCCAUGUCUACAGCAUCAACACUUGGAGGUAUUAGCUGGAGGCUCAGUAGUUCAAGGUCAGCCUUGGCUGCACAGUGAAUUUGAGGCCAGCCUCGCCUAUGUAAGACCUGGUGUCAUUAGCCCUUACACAUACCUCCUCCCUGCAAACACCCCAUAAUAACCAGUUUCUAGCUGAAGACACUGUAUCAGACUUACCAUCUUACUUAAGUAGAGGAUGAAGGAGUACAGGGAACCAGAUGUACUUUCCAGAGGCGGGGCAUCUGCUGGCCGCUCUGCAGUUCUCUCUUGUUGCUUUUCUAUAUCAUCAGCCCCGACAGGACCACCUUCGGGUACAAAACCUGAAAGGGGGCAACAGACAACAUACUGUCUUUUAUGAUUUAAAAGAGUAAUUUUUCUCUUCAUUUAAAUAUUCAGAGUGCCCUCUAAAUAUUAGUCACUAAGUAUCAUAGUUUGAUAUGCCUGGCCCAGGGAGUGGCACUAGUUGAAGGUGUGGCCCUACUGGAGUGGGCGUGUCACUGUGGGAGUGGGCUUUAAGACCCUCAUCCUGGCUUCCUGGAAGUCAGUCUUCUCCUAGCAGCCUGAAGAUGAAGAUGUAGAACUCUCAGCUCCUCCUGCACCAUGCCUGCCUGGAUGCGGUCAUGCUCCUGCUUUGUUGAUAAUGGACUGAACCUCUGAACCUGUAAGCCAACCCCAAUUAAAUGUUGUCUUCAUAAGAGUUGUUUUGGUCAUGGUGUCUGUUCACAGCAGUGAAACCCUAACUAAGAUACCAAGCAUAGAACAUUUGAGAGCCCUAAGGAAAAUUACACAGAGCAAAGCAAACCUUCUGGGAUCAUAACUGGAUCCAUCAGACCCUUCAGUUAUAAAAUGAGAUCAUUUCCAGUCUGCUUCUAAGUGCCCCAUCCUGUCUCCUAUCCAUUCAGGGAGACUGAAAACAAAACCCCAAACUUACACAUUCUCCAAAGGGCUGGGGUUGGGCGGAGGGGGUUUGCCAGGCAAGGCAUGCUUUUAAUUCCUGGACUCAGGAAGCAGAGGCAAAAGGAUGGCUAUGAGUUCAAGGCUAACCUGUUCUAUAGCAACCAACACAAGGAAAACCAUACAGACACAAUCACAGUCAGCAAACUCUGACUUGGUGAUGGCAGAACACUGUAUUAGAAACUUUAAGAGAGCUGGAAAAGAAUGAGUUCAGGGCCCAACAAGAUGGCUCAGUAAGAGUGCUUGUGGCCGAACUUAAUGACCUCAGUUUGGUUCCUGCAACCUAUAUGUCAGGAGAACUCUGACUCCUGAAAGAGUCUUGCAGAUAGACUACACUAAGGCUUAGUGUGGCUGGCAUGUAACUGAUACUUAAUACUUAGUGUACGGACAGGUGACCACGACAUAAAAUAUAGUAAAUGCCAGGAAGGAUGGAAAGAAUUUCUUCCAGAGUGGGAAAUGGCUUGAGGCUUUUGUGAAGGAAGGAGAUCCAUUUAUACCCGAGAAGAUUCUACAUAAGGAAGUGAUGGGACAGGGAUGGAUUUCAGCUUGCGUUACAUGAGCCUGGCAUGUGCCAUCAACAGCAGUUAGUGAGAGGCUGGGCUGCACCCUCUAGGGGUCUCUCCCAACCUUAAAACCCGGUUCACUAUUGACCUAUGACUGACAAUGGGUGACAUUUUCCCAGUUAGGUCAGCAUCAUAGCACCAGAAUUGUGGGCAGUGACCCUGGAAGUCUUGCCUAGAAAGGUGGCUGGGCAUUGUGUGGGGGUGGCGGGAUCUAAAGCAGACAUCCUGUUCCUACUCCUGUAAGCACAACUUUUCCAAGUCCUGAAGGUUUUGAGCAAAAGAGCAAUGAGUGUCAAUGGUACCUGACUUGUUUUCAGUAAAUAGGACCUUUCUAAAUUAAAAAGGAGUUGGAGAACGUUACACAAGACGAUGGUGUCCUCUGGGAUACGGGAGACUCCUAAUGUAUGAUUCCUUCUCAGCUCAGCUAAAGUUCUCUCCACUGUGACAUUUCAUACACUUUGUGUAUUCCCUGGAGAGCAGGGGAUGUUGUUACUCUAGUGACACUGAACCCUUCCUUUCUACAGGCUAAGGCUACAGCCGUGCUUCAUGUUCUCUCUCUCUCUCUCUCUCUCUCUCUCUCUCUCUCUUUUCUCUCUCUCUCUGGAGCUGGCAGUCGGUGGUAACACUAACCUACCACGCAGGAGGCCUUGAGUGUGAUCCCCGGCACUGGACCACCCCGCAAAAGAAACCCCAGUAAUGGCAUUCUUAUGAUAGCAAAAUAGCACAGCGAGGGCAUCUGGUUUUCUGUGAAAUGAGAGUGAGCUAUACAACAAUUAGCAAACCACUGAUGCCAUUAUUGAGGAUGUUUAGAACAAAAACAAAUAAUAACUUUUUAUCUGUCACCAAUAGUUCCUGUGUGCUGAAAUGAAAUAUCUACAAUUAUGUCAGUCAGCUCAAGACUGUCAUUCCCUCAUUGUUUCCUAAAAGCAUACCAUGGGAAGAUGCCUGGACCUUCACAGUAUUUUUUUUUUUUUUUUUUUGGUUCUUUUUUUCGGAGCUGGGGACCGAACCCAGGGCCUUGCGCUUCCUAGGCAAGCGCUCUGCCACUGAGCCAAAUCCCCAACCCC